rnacentral:tRNA from 1 species
GUUCAUAUAGUUUUAAAACAAAC